rfam:Capsicum annuum cultivar Zunla-1 chromosome 9, whole genome shotgun sequence
UACCUGGUUGAUCCUGCUAGUAGUCAUAUGCUUGUCUCAAACAUUAAGCCAUGCAUAUGUAAGUGUGAAUAAAUUCAGACUGGGAACUGUGAAUGGCUCAUUAAAUCAGUUAUAGUUUGUUUGAUAGUAUUUACUACUCGGAUAACCUUAGUAAUUCUAAAGGUAAUACGUGCAACAAACCCUGACUUCUGGAAGAGAUGCAUUUAUUGCAUAGAAGGUCGACGCGGGUUCUGCCCGUUGCUGCGAUGAUUCAUGAUAACUCGACGGAUCGCACGGCCAUCGUGCCGGAGACGCAGCAUUCGAAUUUCUGCCCUAUCAACUUUCGAUGGUAGGAUAGUGACCUACCAUGGUGGUGACGGGUGAUGGAGAAUUAGGGUUCGAUUCUGGAGAGGGAUCCUGAGAAACGACUACCACAUCCAAGAAAGCCAGCAGGCGUGCAAAUUACCCAAUCCUGACACGGGAAGGUAGUGAUAAUAAAUAACAAUACCGUCUCAAUAAGUCUUGUAAUUGGAAUGAGUACAAUCUAAAUCCCUUAACGAGGUUCCAUUGGAGGGCAAGUCUGGUGCCAGCAGCCGCGGUAAUUCCAGCUCCAAUAACGUAUAUUUAAGUUGUUGCUGUUAAAAAUCUCAUAGUUGGACUUUGGGAUGGGCCGACUGGUCCGCCUAUGGUGUACACCAGUCGUCUCGUCCUUUCUGUCGGUAAUGCGCUCCUGGCCUUAUCUGGCUGGGUCGUGCCUCCGGCGCUGUUACUUUAAAGAAAUUAGAGUGCUCAAAGCAAUCCUACGCUCUGUAUAUAUUAGCAUGGGAUAACAUUAUAGGAUUUCGGUCCUAUUACGUUGGCCUUCGGGGUCAGAGUAAUAAUUAACAGGGACAGUUGGGGGCAUUCGUAUUUCAUAAUCAGAGGUGAAAUUCUUGGAUUAAUGAAAGAUGAACAACUGCGAAAGCAUUUGCCAAAGAUGUUUUCAUUAAUCAAGAAUUAAGGUUGAGGGCUCGUAGACGAUCAGAUACCGUCCUAGUCUCAACCAUAAACGAUGCCGACCAUGGAUCGGCGGAUGUUGCUUUUAGGACUCCGCCGGCACCUUAUGAGAAAUCAAAGUUUUUGGGUUCCGAGGGGAGUAUGGUCGCAAGGCUGAAACUUAAAGGAAUUGACGGAAGGGCACCACCAGGAAUGGACCCUGCAGUUUAAUUUGACAUAACACGGGGAAACUUACCAGGUCCAGACAUAGUAAGGAUUGAUAGACUGAGAGAUCUUUCUUGAUUAUAUGGGUGGUGGUACAUGGCCAUUCUUAGUUGGUGGAGCGAUUUGUAGGGUUAAUUCCGUUAACGAAAGAGACCUCAGCCUGCUAACUAGCUAUGCGGAGGUAUCCCUUCGCGGUCAGCUUUUUAGAGGGACUACAGCCUUUUAACCCGCGGAAGUUUAAGGCAAUAACAGGUCUGUGAUGCCCUUAGAUGUUCUGGGUCGUACGCGCGCUACACUGAUGUAUUCAACGAGUUUAUAGCCUUGGCUGAUAGGCCCGGGUAAUCUUUGAAAUUUCAUCGUGAUAGGGAUAGAUCAUUGCAAUUGUUGAUCUUCAAAGAGGAAUUCCUAGUAAGCGUGAGUCAUCAGCUCAUGUUGACUACGUCUCUACCCUUUGUACACAUCGCUCGUCGCUCUUACCGAUUAAAUAAUCCAGUGAAAUAUUCAUAUCGUGGCGACGUGGGCCGUUCACUGCCCGCAACAUCGAGAGAAGUCCAUUGAACCUUAUCAUUUAGAAGAAGGAGAAGUCGUAACAAAGUUUCCGUAGAAGAACCUGUGGAAGGAUCAUUG